CGACAGUUGAUCACUAACCCCCAAAUAAUGGGUCACAAACACUUCAUUACUACACUGCCACCACAAUCGCAACCUGCAAGCACCACACCACUGUCGCCGCCAUCGUUACCACCAUCGCAACCGCCGCACCACCACUACCAAAAUACUACAACGACGCUGCACAUUUCACCUCCAACACCAUCAUAACCAUCACAACCACCAAUUGCAUCAACACCGUCAUCUACUCAACCACCACCACUAUUUCCAAAAAUGCCAACCACCACGAGAAAACUAAACUAAACAGAUCAAAUGAAAAAAAAUAAAAUUAAAAAUUAAAAACUUCAGCACCAUUGAGGAUGGUACCAUCACCGGUCCACCACCCACCACUGCCUGAAACCAUCACCCCCAC
rnacentral:lncRNA from 1 species